AACAUGUCUUUUUGAUUAUAAUUUAAGGUUUAAUCUGCUCAAUGAUUAUUUAAAUUGCCGCAGUAUUUUGACUGUGCAAAGGUAGCAUAAUAAUUAGUUUCUUUAUUGGGAACUGGAAUGAAUGAUUGGACGAGAAAAUUUCUGUCUCUUUAUUAUUUUAAUUGAAUUUUACUUUUAAGUUAAAAGGCUUAAAUUUUAUUAGAGGACGAGAAGACCCUAUAGAGUUUAAUUUUUAUUUAAAUAAUUAUUUUUAGUAUUUAUAUAUAUUAUUUAAAUAAAAAUUUAGUUGGGGUGACUAAAAGAUAAGAAUAACUCUUUUAAUUUUUAUCAAUUAUUUUUGAUUAUAAAAUCUUUAUUUUUAAUUUUAAAAUAAAUUACCUUAGGGAUAACAGCGUAAUUCUUUUUUAAAGUUCUUAUUAAAAGAAGAGUUUGCGACCUCGAUGUUGGAUUAAAAUUAAUUUUAGGUGUAGAAGCUUGAAAAUUAAGUCUGUUCGACUUUUAAAAUUUUACAUGAUCUGAGUUUAAACCGGUGUGAGCCAGGUUGGUUUCUAUCCUUAAUUAUAUAUUAUACUUU
rnacentral:rRNA from 1 species